rnacentral:lncRNA from 1 species
AGAAGCUGAGUUUUGAUAGGGGAAGUCAAAACCUUCCACAAUACCUGGCCAGAUUCCUUAAUGUGAGACUGUCUUAAAGUAACAAAAGUAUUUGCUGCGAGUGACUUACACUCUGAGAUCUAAUGACCCGCGUGGAUUUUCCAGCACACAACUCAGGUAUUCUUACAUACAAGAUAAAAAGACUAUACCAGGAAGCGAGGACCCUCCAGGCUCCCCACUGAGCGAAUGACAGACUUAGCCAGUGAGCAAAGAGCUCUGGCUCCGGUUUGAUCUGAUUCUCAGCCUCUUGCAUUGCCAUCCGCCGCUGACGCAUCCCGAGUGCCUCCUUUAUGGCCCGUUCUGGGAAGGCCUUCUCCGUGCAGCCCAUUUCUCUGCAGCCUCCCUUGCAGCUCUGCAGCACAAUAGGGCCUGUGCAACCUCCAGGACGAUGGCCUGACGUGCUGACUGAAGUGCAAGCUGAAGACGGUGCCCUCCCCACACGCCGCUUAUGUGCUUACCUUUGACCUAGCUGGAAUUCAAGACAAUAUAGUUUCAUUCUAUGCCACGGCGUUAAACGUUUUUAUUCUGCUCCUCAAAUGACUCUGUUCACAGAGUUUGCGCCUUCCAGUGUCAUCUCUUUAUAAAGCGUAGGGCCCAGGUCCAAACAGCUCUCCACGUAGCACCUCUCUCACGGCGCCUAUAAAGUUGAGGCUGUCUUUGUUCCUUCCGCGGUCUUGCUCCCUCCUCUCGCCAGAGGUAACUGCUGUCACGCUGGGGAGGGGACGUAGGAGGACAGGAGAAAGGUAAGCACACAGGUUCUAGACAGACACAGCCAACAAGAAAGCUGAGCUUGGGCGGUCCCAUCGCAGGCUGCUCAGUCCAACACUGCUCCAAAAGGAGCCGAGGGACACUGGCACUGAGCGUAGGGGGCCAGUCCAGAAGGCCAGGCUUUGAGUCAAAGUGUGGGGUCCGUACAGACCGCGUGAUCAUUUCUCAUUUAACAUUACUUUGAUUAGUUUCCAAGAGCUUGGGAAAAAGCCAUCUGGGAAACAAAAGGGAGAUUUGGGUUGGGACUCAGACCACCAGGGAGCUCCUGAGCUGGCCCGCCUCCUAGGACAAGUGGAGCUCGCACCAUGGCCCCACGCCAGGACUCCAC